AAAAUUGAAUCAAACCGGGUGUAUAAAAUUCAAGCACGAGAGAAAAAAUAAAGAAUUUUCUCCUCCUUCUUCCUUAUCAACGCCGUCAGUCCCCUCCCCUUUUCCGUCCUGUUUUCCGGCCAAAUGGCCAUUUUUCCCGGUGAAUGAAGGCUCUAAACUCUAGAGCUCGGCUAGACGAACACAUUGUUGGCCUCUGUUCGCCCAAUAAAAGCCGGACUAAGAGAAACCAUGAAUAAGUAGUGUGAUACCGUAACAUCACAUUUUCCGGUGAUUCCCGCUGUCACCGGCGAAGACAAUCAUCAAGGAGGCUUUUGAUGACGCGCCAUCACCUCACGAAUGAUUUCCUUCCAUCAAUUCUGGCGAUGAAGCUUGGAUGGCAAAACCACCAAGAAUGGCGGUGGUACAACGACUAUCGGACCUAUUUCAGCAAAUUGAAGCGGUGACUCAAAAAAUUGACAUCAGAAUUGGGUUCCCUAUGAAAUUCCGAGCCAGGAGAUGUAAAAAUGGCUCGGUUCCGGUGAGGCCCGGUUUUCCGACGCUCCGGCAAGGACCCAAGGGACAGAAUUUUUCCCUUUUUGCGGUAAUCGCGAAUCUUCAAUCCAAUUUUUAAUCGGUUACUGGUAUUCCAAUAACACGUUAUCCUCUAUCACCGGAUGCUUAGAAGAAACCUCGAUAAAUAUUUUGAGAUUGUUCCGCAAUUACGAUACUCAUGAACAGUAGAUUUAGAAAUUAUCAAUGUAUGACUUAUUAAAGUUUUUACCAUGUAAUAUAUUGAUUUAUUAUUGAACAUGAUGAUACAUGCCAAGCGAGCCCAACACUUAUGAUAUGUGAAUGAUGAUGAUAUUGGGCCUAAGGCCAAUUCUAUUGAACAUGAAGUUUGUUUGUUA